AGUGAACGCUGGCGGUAGGCCUAACACAUGCAAGUCGAACGGCAGCACAGUAAGAGCUUGCUCUUACGGGUGGCGAGUGGCGGACGGGUGAGGAAUACAUCGGAAUCUACCUUUUCGUGGGGGAUAACGUAGGGAAACUUACGCUAAUACCGCAUACGACCUACGGGUGAAAGCAGGGGAUCUUCGGACCUUGCGCGAUUGAAUGAGCCGAUGUCGGAUUAGCUAGUUGGCGGGGUAAAGGCCCACCAAGGCGACGAUCCGUAGCUGGUCUGAGAGGAUGAUCAGCCACACUGGAACUGAGACACGGUCCAGACUCCUACGGGAGGCAGCAGUGGGGAAUAUUGGACAAUGGGCGCAAGCCUGAUCCAGCCAUACCGCGCGGGUGAAGAAGGCCUUCGGGUUGUAAAGCCCUUUUGUUGGGAAAGAAAAGCAGCAGGCUAAUACCCCGCUGUUCUGACGGUACCCAAAGAAUAAGCACCGGCUAACUUCGUG
rnacentral:rRNA from 1 species